UAGUCAUGAUGAACUGCUUUUGGUCCGUGUUUAUGAAUCCUUAUGAUCUUAACUUUCAAAAGCACUGAUGUA